GAAUGCCAUCUUCCAGGGAAAGCUAGAGAAGAAGUUUCUGGAAUUGACCCAGUAUUGUCGGUCCGUCCUGUGCUGCCGCUCCACGCCACUCCAGAAGAGUAUGAUAGUCAAGCUGGUGCGAGACAAGUUGCGCGUCAUGACCCUUUCCAUAGGUGAUGGAGCAAAUGAUGUAAGCAUGAUUCAAGCUGCUGAUAUUGGAAUUGGAAUAUCUGGACAGGAAGGCAUGCAGGUAUUGUUCUCUGCAACUAUUCUUCUUUCUUUGGUCCGUAGUUGAGAUAUAAGGAAAUAUCCAGGGUGUUGGAGAAACUUCUCCCUGAGAACUUCCACCCACAUCCAAAGUUGCAAUGCCCUCCAUAAGCAAUGACAGACAUAAGGACAUUUGAAAUCAUUUUGCAAAUGUACACUUUCGUAGUGUCAAAAUUCAGCUUGGAAGAAGCAAACUAACUUGACUGCUAAAUUUUCCCAUUUAAACAGACAUUUUGUGGGUUUUGAGCCAUUAACAAUUGUAUUUCCACCAGCAGUGUAAACAUUUGGCACUGCUUAAAUUUGUUGAUGAGGAUAGAGAGCAUUGACU
rnacentral:sRNA from 1 species